UCUCCCUCUCCCUCUGCCCCUCCCCCUGCUCUCUCUCAAAUAAAUAAAUCUUAAAACAAAACGGACAAACAAACAAAACUUCUGGAGGGCUGAUUGAAACACAGAUUGCUGGGCGCUCCCGCGUGUGUUUGAGGAGGUCCAGGUGGGGCCCAGAACUUCACUUUCUAACAGAUUCCCAGGCGCUGCCGGUGCUGUGGUCACAGACUACUGUGCCUUAAGGUCAGGGGGCCACACGACUUUGGAGCCCAGGUAUCUCUUUUUCCCUCACCAUAGAUUCCACAGCUUGGUUUGGAGAUCUCCCAUGAGCCCUCAUUCAGAUAGUCUGUGAAUCAAACUAAGUCAAAAAGAACAAAAUCGAGGUCCCAAUGACUGGUUGCAGCUGUGGCACCCUGGCCCGACAGAGAAGUUGUGGGGCCGGCUGUUGGAUGGCGGUAUUGUGUGCACCAUGCCCAGUGGGACUGCGACAGUAAGUCGUUCCAGGGACACAGUGCUGCUGGCACAGCCUGCCCCCCGACCCCCGUGUCCUGUUACCCGCAUGCUGGCGCCUCAGGGAGCCGCCAGUGCCCUGCCAUCCCCUCCUCUUGUGGCUGGGGAGACGAAGUCUCAGAGAGAGGACUUGUCUCAAGGUUGGGGCUGGGGGCCUGACUUCUGGCUGUAGGGCUUUCUCGCUGGGUAGGACCUCGUUAUCCUGUUUGGCUUAUCCCGGUUCUAGAGUUUGCUUCUCUUCCUUUGGCUGGAUUUUAAUGGCUCUAAUGCCCUUUUUUAGACGCAUCAGACAGGACUUGGGAUCCAAGGGUGGAGGACAUGCUUUCCUCAUGCCCCCGAUCUUCCUCACCCCGCCACUGAGCACCCCGGCUGUGGCUGAGCCCGGCAUUCGAGACGCAGAUGGGACUCUGCAGGUGCUGUCACCACUGGUACAGUUAUCUUGUUUGUGAGCCAACAUUGAAAACCUGGGAGAUUUCACCUGCUAUUUCAGAUAUCUGAUUCCUUAGGAAAUGGGCAGUGCUGGGACACACUCCUGCUCUGUCCUUCAGAGCUGAAGGUGGGGCGUGAGUGCCCAGGAGAGAGCGGAGCCACGGUCUGUGCAGGUGUGCAUCUGCGCCCGUGCCUGCCUGGGCACUGGGGCAGGUAAGACAUCACACUCAUGGUCUUGGGCUGCCCUAACGAAGUAUCACACACCUGGCUUGAAAUAGCAGAGAUGUGUUCUCUCCUGGUUCUGGGGCUCAGAGGUCUGAAGUCAAGAUGCUGCCAUGGCGGCGGGGGCCCUCUCCCUGUUUCCCGGGGUGGCUUGACGUGCCUGGCCUUUGCUCAGCAUUCGUGGUUGGGAGACAGGGCUCCCCGAGUGUCAGCAAGCACCGCAGGGGGCAUCUAGCUUCCUGGAGCUCACAUAGUGAGACAGCCCUGUGGCCUUAGUGCUUCAUGGGCAUUAGCCCACCGAAUCUCUAAAGCAGCCCUCCUGGAGGGGGGCAGUCUUAUUGCCCCACAUUGCGGUGGGGAGGUUGAGGUCAGAGGGUUGACAGAGCUUGGUCAAAGUCAGAGCAGACCUAGUGUGUGGGGACAGCAGCGAGUGCCACAUCGGUCAGACCCUCUGCCCCUGUGAUAUGGGGGGGGCGAGGGGAGCCCUUAUGUCAGCUGCCAUCCCAAAGCCCAGUGCUCAUCACAUUUAUUCCCUCCCCGCACUGCUCUGUCUCUUCCCCGGGCGAUUACUGAGGCUCUUGGCCUGAUUAUUUUCUCAAUCCUGAAGAUGAUGUUUCUAAAUUUCCAUUUGAGCAAGAUUUAGUCCAUUUUUAGGGUCCGUUUCCUGUGUCUUUUUGCAUUCUCUAGUAGAUGGUAGAACCAUCCAGAAACCAUAACAAUAUGCUCUAAAUAACCUUUAUAUUGUGGUACUGAUCUGAGUAAAUAUAGUUCACACCAGAUGGGACUUUUUGCAAUCUAGAGUUCUGAAAGAAAGAAUGGAUUCAUUUUGAGUUUCCUUACAUUAAGUGAGUGAUUUUUUUUUUUCCCUUGGGCAGUCAACUCCCACAUUCAGUAUUCCCAGCAUGACAUUUUGUACUGUUAUACUUGGUAAGUAAAGGCCAGCUAUUCUGACCUUUAUGUGCCAGGAGUCUGUGCUCAGAGCUCCGUUUUUGGUUUAGCUCAUAAAGGCUGCUUGCAUGUUUGCAUAUUUCAUGCAGAAAGAAGUCUUUUGGGCUAAGUCACUCCUGGCUAGAUAUUCACAAAGUUCAUGGCUAUUUUUAACACACACCUUUGCUGCUUUAAAACCACAGUCAGCAUUUAAAGCCAUGACUGGCUUAUUCACUUUGCAUAAUACCUUCAAAUUUCAUCCAUUGCACGAAGGGAAGUAAGCCAGUCACAAGAGGACAAGCACUGUGUAAGUCCACUUAUAGGAGGUUCGCCAGGGUAGGCGGGUUCACAGAGACAGAAGUUGCAUGGUGGUUGCCAGGAGCUGGGGCAGGGGCGGGGGUGGGAUAGGGAGUAGGUGUUUAAUGGAGACAGAGUGUCAGGUGGGGAAGAUGGAAACAUUCUGGAGAUCGAUGGUGGGGAUGGUUGGAUGAUGAUGUGAAUAUUCUCGGUGCCACUGAACCAAAAUGGUUGAAAGGGUCAAUUUUAUGUUACAUCUAUUUCACCAAAGUCAGACAAAAAAAAAACAAUCCUACAAUGACCUAAACAACUGUAUCUAAAUAAAGCGAUGACGAUGUAGAGAAGCUUCACUCCUGCGAUGAAAUACAAUGUGCCCCACACAGAUGACCAUUAGACAGUCAUGUGUCUAUAUGAAAUUCAUUUUGUUUUAUGAUUUUCUAUAUUUUUCAGUUGAAAAAGGUCCUUGGAAAAAUAUAAUGUCAGCUCUCUAACGAACUCUGUGACCUUGGCCACCUUUUUUGCAUUUUGAGCUAUUAUUACCCCAUAAGCCAGGUGGGGAGAUUUAAAGGUGGAACAAGUAGAAACCAAAGUCAGUCGAGAUCACCGGGCAGUGGGGUUCAAGUGGUGACAGUCAACAGCAGUGCUGGAAACUUCUUUGCCCCCCCGCCCCCAGAGCAAGAGACAUAAACCUAAGUCCUUUAAGGGCAGGAGAUCACACAGUGUGGAGAAGCCCUGCAGCCCCUCCCUGGCCACAGAAGGCAUGUGAGGUUGUGACCCAUCUCACUCCAGGGAGAUCACAGUGUGAGGCUCUCAAAAGGAUGUUCUCCGGGACAUGUGUUCACAACUUAAAGAUGUCAACUGACCUUGCUGGGGACAACUACUCGUGUGGUUGGCAGACUCGUCCCCUUGAACAGGGGACAGACCUGAUUAACUACCCUGGUGGAAGGGGAGGAGUGAGGUUUGGGCAGCAUGGGCCUGAGAAGCAUGAGAUUGAGGGAGGAUGUCACUAACCAACAAGGAUAUGCUAUGUUGGCUCCGGAUUUCCGUUAAUCCAGCAACACAUGGCUCCUGGGGCACAAGGAUGAGCUGGAGAGAUGUGGUCCUCGUGGGGUGGCCGGCUCAGCAGUGCGUAUAGAUGAAACGAGAGGCUGGGGUGAGCAGAAAGGGUGAGUGAAAAGGUAAGCCCGGGGUGUUGGCUUGGGCGCAGGAAAGUGCCCAGCCACACGAAUUCCCUAAACUUGGGGCAGGAAGUGGCCAGAGAAGCCGUGUGGGGGGACCCUCCAGGCAGGGAAGAACACAGGUAAAGGCCCAGCAUCAGGAAGAGGAGAUGCAGGCUUCUGGGAGAGGAAGAAGUGAUGUGUCCCACCUGAUGCAGGGCCAUGGGUGUGCCCACAAGCCGCAUGGAGGGGAGAUGGUGCGUGAAGAGGGGGGCUGAACCCCAGUGUGAAAUGAGCUCCCCCAGGCUCUGAGCAGAGUGGUGGACCCAGGGGAGCAGGCUCAGCGAGGAACCCCCUACCUGGGCAUUGGAGGAGGGAAUGGGCCCCCAUCCGGGUGGUGGUGCGGGAGCGGAGCGGGAGACAUACAGAAGGCACAGGUGGGGGGUGGGGGGGCAGCAGAAGUAGCCCUGCCCCGUUUGCUCUCCCAGUGACCAUUCCCCAAGUGUGGGCUCGGGCCGGGCCCUGGGAGACCUCAGCUUGCCUGGCUUCCUUCCCUGCCCACCAGGACCCAGCAGAGCCUCUGACGUGCCCAGGAGCUGCCCUGCACCGUGAACCUGGCAGGCGGGGGUGGGUGUUGCACGGCGGUGCGCGGAAGAGUUUUAUAGCCCCCCCACCCCGGGCCUGCAGAGCUUCCUCUGCACAUAUCGUCCUCCGGGACCUGGGUCUCCCCACAGCUGGCUGCUUGGUGUCUGUGCCCGAGAAGCCAGUAGUAGAGGUCCACGGAGUCUCCCUCUAAGACGCUUCUCCUUCUUGCGAUGAUCCUGGGGUCUGUGGCCAGGAGCAGGUGUGUUUGCGAUGACAUCAAGGUCCUGGUGAGCUGAGCCUUUUCUCAUUAUUUUAUGACCAUCUCUGUCCUUAAGAGAACUUGGUUGCAUGGUCGGUCCCUGCUGGGUAGUGCUUCCCCCGUGUGUCCGCUGCCAUUUCCUGGCUUUGCAUGGUCUUGGGUUUAUGCGUGUCUUUGGCAAACGACAUUUAUCCAGAUUUUUUUUUUUUUAAACAGUGUGUCAGUUAAAAAAAACAAACUGUCCCUUUGUCCCUCUGACUGACAGGUUUAGUCCAUCUUAACUACUGAUUUGGGCCCGUUUCUACCAUUUUCACUUGUUAGGUCAGCUUUUCCCCCUUUUCCUGUAUUUCUUUGUAACCCUCUGGUCUUCUGCAUUGGCGCCUGUGUACGUGCCUCCAAGCGCAGGACGCAGGACGGGGCAGCUGCUCACAUCCUUUGGUCUCGCUGACCCCUUGACUCCUCUCACAUCCGUAACACCUGCCGCGUACUUCCACGGGGCUCCGGAUGGUUCUCUCUCCACCUUUCUCUGAAUAGUCUUGGCUCUUUUGAUGCUCUCUUCAUCUUAGACCGUCUGUGGUGUGGGUCUGCUGCUCUCUGAGCCUUCCCUUCUCAGGUCUUUGAUGGGUGUGAAUCCGGGAAGUCUACCCCAUCCCAUUACUCAGCUCUCUCUGGCUCCCUUGGGAUCUCCGAGUCUCCGGGCUGGUGCUGCUGUGCCUGCUCCCUGUUUCCUCCUCCUGCUCCCUGGUCCGACCUUCCCUUCUAGGCGCUCCUCCACCCAACCUUCCCGGCUGCGGCUUUGCUCCACCUACUGUGUGCUUUUCUGCUUGGCUCUUUUA